AGGUUCCUGGUGCUUACCAGCUUAUAAGGCUGUGUUCUUAUACUGACUGAUCAGAAAGAGAAAGCAGAGUAAACACACCAAAUACACCUCAGCCCAGGCCCUUUGCCUGGUCUGUAUUAUGAAUGGGGGGGAUACAG
ensembl:snoRNA small nucleolar RNA SNORA51